GAAUUUCGCCCUUCCAGUAGUCCAUAAUGGCUUGUCUCAAAGAUUAAGCCANGCAUGUCUAAGUAUAAGCAAUCUAUACAGUGAAACUGCGAAUGGCUCAUUAAAUCAGUUAUCGUUUAUUUGAUAGUACCUUACUACUUGGAUAACCGUGGUAAUUCUAGAGCUAAUACAUGCUAAAAAUCCCGACCUCUGGAAGGGAUGUAUUUAUUAGAUAAAAAACCAAUGCCUUCGGGCUCCUUGGUGAUUCAUGAUAACUUAACGAAUCGCAUGGCCUUGUGCCGGCGAUGGUUCAUUCAAAUUUCUGCCCUAUCAACUUUGGAUGGUAGGAUAGUGGCCUACCAUGGUUUCAACGGGUAACGGGGAAUUAGGGUUCUAUUCCGGAGAGGGAGCCUGAGAAACGGCUACCACAUCCAAGGAAGGCAGCAGGCGCGCAAAUUACCCAAUCCCGACACGGGGAGGUAGUGACAAUAAAUACUGAUACAGGGCCCUUUCGGGUCUUGUAAUUGGAAUGAGUACAAUUUAAAUCCCCUUAACGAGGAACAAUUGGAGGGCAAGUCUGGU
rnacentral:rRNA from 1 species